GUCUUAUAUUUUGUUUUGCUGAGAGUUUUCAUUCAGAGACAGAAGAAAAUAACACAGAAUGAGCAGAAGAAAGGUUUCUGGGUUUUCAUCUGCUUCAACUGCUGAACAAGUUACUGAAGGAAUCGAUGCCACUGCCCUCACUGCUAUUGUUACAGGUGCAACGAGUGGUAUUGGCACUGAAACUGCUCGUGUUCUUGCGAUGCGUGGUGUUCAUGUAAUAAUGGCGGUCAGAAAUUUGGUUACUGCAAAAGAUGUAAAAGAAGCAAUACUUAAAGAGAUUCCUACUGCUAAACUUGAUUACAUGGAGUUAGACCUUAGUUCAAUGGCAUCUGUUCGAAAAUUUGCAUCGGACUUCAUUUCAUCUCGCCUUCCAUUGAACAUUCUUGUAAACAAUGCAGGAAUAUUUGGAACCCCUUUCACGCUGUCUGAGGACAAUAUUGAACUGCAAUUUGCUACGAAUCAUAUAGGGCAUUUUCUUUUAACAAAUCUGUUGUUAGAUACUAUGAAGAAAACAGCACAUGAAAGUAAGCGAGAAGGAAGAAUUGUUAAUGUCACCUCUUGUGCUCAUCGAUUAUCCUAUCGUGGAGGAAUCCGUUUCGAUAAAAUUAAUGAUGAAUCAAGUUAUAGGAAGUUUUGUGCAUAUGCUCAGUCAAAGCUUGCUAACGUUUUACAUGCCAAUGAACUUGCAAGACGUCUUAAGGAAGAUGGAGUAGAUAUUAAUGCUAAUUCUGUUCAUCCAGGAGCCAUUAUCACCAAUAUUGAUCGUUACUACGUUCACUCUGGACUUGCAGCUAUACUUAAGAAGUUGAUAGGUUUUGCAUUUAAAAAUGUCGAACGGGGAGCAUCAACAACGUGUUAUGUAGCAUUGCACCCUGAAGUUAAGGGAAUUAGUGGAGAGUAUUUUGCAGAUAAUAGAAUGGCGAAAGUAGGGUCAAAAGGAAGGGAUAUUGAGUUGGCUAAGAAACUCUGGGAUUUCAGCAUGAAUUUGAUCAACUGAGUACUUUGUGUCAUUGUUAAUUAGAGUGCACAUUUCAGCCCUAAAACUUUUCAAUUCAUGCUCCAAUUUUGAAUGCACGAGGAACGAGGGUUAGGGUUGAGAGAGAACGAGAGAGAAAAAAAAAGGAGAACUCCAUUGCUGCCACCGGAGGCUGGACGUGAUCGGAAAAGUUUGUACUAGCGAAGUUGAAGUGGAAGGCAAAGUUUGUAUCGAACGUGAUCGAUGUGGAGCGCGGAAGGAGUUAGAUAUGACAAAUGUUCGUGAACUUGAAGAUUUUGUAAUUAAUGAAUGCAUGUAUGCGGUAGGCAUCAUUCCCUUCCAGAGAGUAUUUAAUGCUUUCCUACUAUCCACACAAUCAUUAUUACCACUAUUUUGUUUUUUAUCUUGUCUUUUUGUAUAAUGUUUGAUAUAAUUACGUUAACAAAUUGGUUGCUUGAAACGAUAUUUGAUGAAUGACAGACAAGAUUUCUAAUUUUGUUGCUCUCAUCAGGGAAUAGUCUGAGGAAAGUUGCAUCAAUUGCGUUGGUGCUUUGAGUUGCUCAUCUUCAUCAUCUGUUAUUGUGUUUAAUUGUAUUUUUUUCCAUUUCUUAUUUUCCAUUAAUGCGUAUUAGAAAUUUACCUGAUUCAGGUCUAAUUUGCAGUCGGGAGGGACUUGAGGCCUGAUCAACUUGGGAAUAUGAUCCAGACUCUCUCUUACUGGUAAUCUCUCUUUUUCAAGUGGGGGCUUGAAUAAUUUGUUAUCAUAUGGAUGUUAUUUAUUAAGUAUAUUACCAAUUCUUGGAAAAAUGAUGUGAAAUUUUAAAUUUGUAUGUUUGAUAGUAAGCUUGUUUGUGAUGGUGGAUGACGUGAGUAUCAGUAGAACUUGAUUCAACACUUAAAGCUUUGAAUUUUUGGACUAUGAUCACUGUAUAAAAUUCAUAGCUUUGAAUUUUGCAGAAAAGAAUUUCAACAUCGAAAUUCGAAGCUGUCAUUGGUUAGUAUUAGUUUGAGUUUAUAGUUUGGUAAUUAUAGCUUUAUAUUCCAUGACCUUUUGACCAUAUGUUAUAACUGAAGAAGAUUAUUAUUUGUUCUGUACUUUAUAGUUUGGUAAUUCUUGUAGGUUUGAUUAACAUUUUGUGUACUUAAUUUUUUGAACUUUUUUUUAAUGUUGAUAUGUAAUUAUGGUGGAGGUUUUGAUAUUCUAAGAUGGAUAAAUGUUGUUAAUUUUAAAGCAUAACUCCUCUUGACAGGGUUAUUCUUUUAAUUUUUCUUCAUGGUUGCAAGUGGCUGGUGCAAAAGUGGUUUCCUGUGGAGAUUUUUGUUCAAUUAGUCAAUACAAACCAUAGAGAUAGUUGGAAGAGUCAUUAUGGAGAAACAGGUUUAUGCACGACAUUCAUGCAGGACAAAAUACUUGGCACAUGUGAACACAUUAUUAACAGAUGUGCAAAAGACAUUGAUACAAACAACUCCUUUUGCAUGGAUAUUGUCCAUUGAUGUGGAUGCCAAAAUGAGUAGGACUCUACUUUUAGAAUUGUGUAGUAGAUGGUCAGAGAGGAGGGGCGGGUUUGAAGUUAGGUCUGUCUUUAUUCCAUUCACCAAGUUAGACCUUUGACACAAUUGAGAUGUUGUUUAAAGACGAAGUUGAUUGUCAUACUAGGAGAUUGUUUGACACAAUUGAUGUAAGUAUACAUAAUGUUUAUGAAGAAAUUCAAAAGCGUAUAAAAGGGGAUGAAGUGGGUGAUGUUUGUAGAUUAUAUUUACUGUUAGGGUUGAGUGAGUUUUUCUUCCCAAAUAGAGGUGGAAAAGUUCACUUAGGUUUAUUUGAAUUAUUAGAUGAUUUAUCGUGUAUUGGAAAAUAUAACUGGGGGCGUGUUAUUUAUGAGUAUUUGGUUUCUAGUUUGUGUGAUGCUGCAUUGUGUGUGGGAAAGAGACAAAACAGAUCACACUGUCAUGUGGUUGGUUGUGUAUUUGCAUUACAUGUAUAUUUUGAUGUUAGUUACAAAAGUUAUUGUGUUAUAAUUUAUAAUUGUUAGUUUUUUGAAAUUGAAGUUUGUAUGUACAGAUCUGGGCAAUGGAACAUGUUUUAUUUGGUCACAAGAAGUUGGCUAAAACAAAUAGUUGUUUACCUAGAAUCCUUCAUUGGAUACAUGUUAAAGUUGGUGAAGCAGAAAUUGAGAAAGUCUUUCUGUGUAAUGAAGUCAUUACCGAGGUAUAUGUAAGCAAUGAAGAGAUGUGUACUGAAAUAGUUAAAGAAGGCUUAGAUGAUCAUCAUAAUGCUGGAUUGAAGGAGAACUUGGAAAGGCGAUCUAUGGCUGAUAUUGUUGCAGAAAAUGAAGCUUUGGUUAUUAUCAUUGUUGACCAAGAGGCAUCCAUUGCCAAGCUUGAGAAAAUGGUUGACAACCUACAAAUGUUAGUCGCACAGAACUGUCAACGGUUUGAUGAUGUUGGGAAUUCAAAUUCCAAAAAAAAGUGUGACAUGUUAGUUGAUGAAUUUGGGACCAGUAGUUCACAGGAAGAUUAUGAGGUAGUAGUUUCAUCUAUUGGGAAGUCAAAUUCUAAGAAAGAGUCAGAGAUUGAAGGUGAUGAUGUGGACAAGUCCAAUUCUGAGAAGGUUUUUGACGUUACACCUGAUGUUGGAAAAAGUUUCAAUGAAAAAGGUGGUGAUGUUUUAGGUAAUGAAGAGAUGGAUACUGAAAAAUCUGACAUGUACACGCGUUUAAAAGCUCAACCUAGGAAGCGUGUUAGAAGUGUUCUUUUGAAAACCCCUUGGACAAGAUUAGAUAGGAAAAAUCAUAGGCGCAUUGUAUAGUUUAUGAAGUUGUUUAUGUUACAAUAUGAGGUUGAAAUGAUAAAUAUUGUUACCAAACUCAAAUGUUAUUUUGAAUUAUGUUAAC